GCCUUUUGGGACAAUGCCAGCUCUGAGCCAUCUGUAGUACCACCUUGUCAUUGUUGGCAUUCUGUGCCUGCUGCUGGCCUGCUCCCCAGGACCAGCGGGCAUCUCCAGCCAAUAUCAGCCACGUCCUUCUGCUGCAGCCCCAGGAUGAGGGCUCAGGGGCUCAGGGCUGCAGUGGGGGCUGCUGCUGGUAGCCUGGGCAAUGCUUUCUUGCAGCUUCCCUUGGGAGAGUACUCAAACAGAUGAGGAAACUGAGACUCAGAAGGUAAAGCAGCUGCCAAGCAACAGUGGAAGGGCUGCCUCACAUCUGACUCUGCUCUGCAUCUCUCCGACCCCUCAUAGCAGCUCCAGACUCCACAGUGAGAACAGAACUGACCAGCCUGGAUGUCUGGACUCAGCCUGGCUGGGCAGAGUGGACUAGUGUUGGAGAGAAUUGCUUGUUGUGUGGAAAACCCCCACAUAUUUGGCAGCCAGAAAUGUCAGAAAGUAUAUUUUGCAAGAUGGAAAAUUAUACUCAUGGGAGAAAAAGACCAUAGGGAAGAGCUGGCGUUUUCCUUACCCAGGGGCAUCACCAGGGCCGCUGUUCUCCCUCCUUCCAGGGAAAUAAUCACCCCUCCUAUUUUCCCUGAAUCCAUGAUGUGGAGAGAUGAAUAAUAACCCACUGUAAGAUGUCCACAUCCUAACUCCUGGAGCUUGUGAGCAUUGUCUUACGUGGUAAAGAAGGACUUUACAGAUGUGAUUGAGUUCAAGAUCUUGAGACAGAUCAUUCGGGAUUUUUCAGGUCCAUGGUCUGAUGGGCAUAUCUCAGGUUUCCAGGACAGGCUGCCCUUGUCCAGGUCUGAAUACUCACACAUAUUACUCAGAAUCCUUAUGUAUCUAUUUGACAAUGGCACUCCUGCAGCUCUGGGUCAGAAUGUUCCAAAGCAGACACCUCCAUCAGCUGGGCAAGUCCUACAAGGCAACCUCUGAGGGUCAGGGGAGGAUGUCAUAACAUGUCUAGUAGGAUUUUCACUAGGUGGUCUGUGUUCCAGGGCAGUUGGCAUGCGAAUCACUAUGGGCUUCAGCGUUUGGGUUCGGAGUCAUGAAAGAAUCACCCAGAGGAUGUUUCUGAGCACUGUCUGAUGCCUGACCUGGGAACAGGUUGUUUGCUACAUGGAUUUAGUCUCCACCACAAACCAAGAUUAGUAGUUUUCCCCAUUCUCAUAUUAUAGAUGAAGAAACUGAGACUCAGAGAUUAAUUGCCUCUCCUAGAGUCACCUAGCAAGGGAUCUGAACCCAGGAGAGUUGGACUGCUAGGUGGUGCUGCUUCUCAAAGACAGGUCCUAUUUAUUUUUGAACAUUUUAACCUUUAUUUGAAAUAAUUUCAGACUUAGAAAAAGGCAACAAAAGUUGUGUGAAUUUUGUUAUAUACACUUCAUCCCACUUUCCCAAAUGUUAGCAUCUUUUGUAACUACAGUGAAAUGGUAAAAACUAGAAAGUUAACAUUGGUGCAAUGCUAUGAACUGAUCUACAGACUUUCUUCACAUUUCAAUUGUCCCACUAUUUUUUUUUCCCUCAGGAUCCCAUUUAGGGUCCCACCUUAACAAAAGUUUUUAGAAUAGGAAGCUAUUACAGCCUUCUGAGUGCAGGUGAUGGGGUUCAGGACAUACUAUGCCAAAAUAUGGCACCUUGGCGCAUUGAAGAUUUUAAGACAAAGGAGUUUUAGGAAACGGUGAAGCAGGAAGGAUACUCUGACCCCCUCCUUAGCCCUCCUUCCUUGAAAAUAGGAGACAAACCUCUCAUGUGAAAGACACCCUCCUGGUACAUGGACAUGGAGGUCAUCCUUUUCUCUGGAGACACGGAAUUCAGGGUCAAGAAGCCUGUAUAAACAAGCCUUAUAACUUCUUCACCAUUUAUUACCCCUAGUCUCAACUCCAUUGUCUUGUUAAUUCUUCACACAUUUAUUAUUUCCUUGUCUACAGGGUAUGCAAGCUUCUUGUUCUGGCCACUUCACAUCCUCAUUCUCUUGUGAAGUUUCCCAUGUAUAUAUAAAAGGUCAAUUAAACCAUGUUUUUCUCCUGCUAGUUAAUUCUAAGGCCCAGCCAGAGACCCAAAGAGGGUAGAGGAGAAUUUUUCUUGCUUGACAUAAGUAGCACCUAACCUUCAGGGGGCCACAUGAUUAAUCUGUGAAUAAGGAUCAGGGUUUAUUCCUCCCUCACAGGGAGGCCAAGAUUACCUCACAAAGCUCUGUUGGAGUCACACCAAUAUAGCAAGAGCUGGUGCCAGGGCCUGCAGGCACAGUGGGAUCCAGCAGCCAGAAAUCUGUGGUGAGAAAGGUGGCAGAGCCACCCAGGAGCACCACGGUUUGGUCCUUUGGUCAGAUUAUGGUAGAGCCUUGAAAGACGAGGUUGGGUUCUCAAUCUCCAUUUAACCUGGGAAAGCCCACUUGGUGAAGACUGCUGUAGGAGGGUGAGCGAGUUACAGCCUGGCCCCAGCCCGCCCUGGCAGGUGCAGCGGAUAGGAGAUUUCUGAGGCUGUGAGAUGGGUGUUGGAUGCCGGAGGAAUCCUCUGUUGCUGUUGGCUGCUGUCGUCCUGGCAGCCAGGCUGGGUCACUUUCAAAGGUGGGAAGGCUUCCAGGAGAAGUCCACGAGCGUGAAAAACAUGAAUUCAACCCUCAAGUUCUUCAUUGAAACCUACAACAAUGCUAGCAAUGACACCUACUUAUUUCAAGUUGACAAGCUACUUCGAAGUCAGAUGCAGCUGACGACUGGAGUGGAGUAUAUGGUCACUGUGAAGAUUAGCCGGACCAAAUGUGAGAGGAAUGGCACAAGAAACCAUUCAUGCCCCAUUCAAAACAAAAAAAAGCUGAAAAAGAGUUUCAUUUGUGAUUUUUUGGUGUACACUGUUCCCUGGAUGAACUACUACCAACUCUGGAACAACUCCUGUCUGGAGGCUUGAAUGUAUCGGGAAGCUCAGCAGAGACUGAGUGCCACAGAUUUUCCCUGGAGUGCACACACAGGGAGCCUCUGCCUAGCAUGUGUCCAAACUUCAGACUUCCAGAAGAAAAGCAGGAUGAGGACAGAUGUGACCCAGUGAGCUGCUGGCAGCCCCUUGAGACUACAUGAAGGAAGUGGAGUGAAGAGAUGAAAUUGGUGAUAUUGUUCAAAAUCCUGAAUCAAACUGUUGGCUGGGUGGAGGGGAGAGUUGCUUAUUCCUCACUGCUGAUAUGGCACCCAUAUGCCUUUAACAUGGCAUUCCUGGUUUCUCUCUAUCCUUAGUCAUAUCUCUCCUGGAGGAAUUAUUCUGAUUGUUCUAUCUGGGAAGAAUAAUGUAGGCAUGGUAGUCUCCUUCCUCCUCCUUCCCACACAGGCAGUUUCCUUGGUAACUCUAGAAGAGGAAGUUUUCUCUGAAGAAACCUGCUCUGGUCCAAUUUUGCUGAUGCUGGGGGUAGGUGGACAAUAGUAUUUUUAAUCGAGCUGAAGUUGCACUGCACAAUUUGUAAAAAGCAGGAUGAAGACAUAAACAACUGCCCCUUGCAAGAAGGUCCAGGAGAGAAAAAGGUACACUGCACCUUUGUUGUGGAUGCCAGACCAUGUCUUUCCCAGUUCUCCCUCCUGAACAGCACCUGUGUGCAGAAAUAGGCUGGGAAGGGGCCCCUGGCUCCUCAUACAAAGAUCCUUUUCCUCCAGAGAGCAACAGUCUGUAUGUAGUCCCAGGUCUGUUCAGCACCAGGAGA